GUGCCAGCCGCUGCGGUAAUACGUAGGUGGCGAGCGUUGUCCGGAAUUACUGGGCGUAAAGGGUGUGCAGGCGGAUAUUUAAGUGAGAUGUGAAAGACCCGGGCUUAACCCGGGCAGUGCAUUUCAAACUGGAUAUCUAGAGUGCAGGAGAGGAGAAUGGAAUUCCUAGUGUAGCGGUGAAAUGCGUAGAGAUUAGGAAGACACCAGUGGCGAAGGCGAUUCUCUGGACUGUAACUGACGCUGAGGCACGAAAGCGUGGGUAGCAAACAGGAUUAGAUACCCUGGUAGUCCACGCCGUAAACGAUGAGUACUAGGUGGUAGGGGUAUCCGACCCCCUGUCGCCGCAGUAACACAAUAAGUACUCCGCCUGGGAAGUACGAUCGCAAGAUAAACUC
rnacentral:rRNA from 1 species